UACGUAGGGGGCUAGCGUUGUCCGGAAUCAUUGGGCGUAAAGAGCGUGUAGGCGGCCCGGUAAGUCCGCUGUAAAAGUCAAAGGCUCAACCUUUGAAUGUCAGUGGAUACUGCCGGGCUAGAGUCCGGAAGAGGCGAGUGGAACUCCUGGUGUAGCGGUGAAAUGCGCAGAUAUCAGGAGGAACACCGGUGGCGAAGGCGGGACUCUGGGCCGAUACUGACGCUGAGGAGCGAAAGCGUGGGGAGCAAACAGG
rnacentral:rRNA from 1 species